rnacentral:misc_RNA from 1 species
CAUCUAGCGUGAAGCUGCCGGAAAAUAUCGCGAUGCACCUCAGGACAUACUGCUCUUUCUCGGAAAGCAGUUGAUAGCUCCAGUCGAGCGCCGCUGCGAUGGAGCGAUGGCGCGGUAACGUGCCGCGGUGGGUCUCGGACAGGAAAUGAUUUCGAUUUUCGAUCCGCUCAGCCACCCCUUUGACGCCGAAGGCAUCAACGCGGGCCGCGGCAAGCUCGAUGGCGAGAGGAUUACCGUCGAGGCCGCGGCAGAUGCGAGCGGCA